AUUAACGCUGGCGGUGUGUCUAAUACAUGCAAGUCGAACGGUCCUUCGGGAUAGUGGCGAACGAGCGAGUAACACAUUGGAACCUACCCCGUACUCAGGGAUAAGCACUGGAAACGGUGUCUAAUACCGGAUGGUCCCGCAAGGGUAAAGAUUUAUCGGUACGGGAGGGGCCUGUGUCCUAUCAGCUUGUUGGUGAGGUAAUGGCUCACCAAGGCUAUGACGGGUAGCUGGUCUGAGAGGAUGAUCAGCCGCGAUGGAACUGAGACACGGUCCAUACUCCUACGGGAGGCAGCAGUAGGGAAUCUUCCACAAUGGACGAAAGUCUGAUGGAGCAACACCGCGUGGUCGAUGAAGCCCCUUGGGGUGUAAAGACCUUUUCUGGGAGAAGAAUUAUGACGGUAUCCUAGGAAUAAGCACCGGCUAACUCUGU
rnacentral:rRNA from 1 species